UACACGGAGAGUUUGAUCCUGGCUCAGAAUGAACGCUGGCGGCGUGCUUAACACAUGCAAGUCGAACGAGAAGGAAGCCUUCGGGCUUCUGGACAGUGGCGCACGGGUGAGUAACGCGUGGGUAACCUACCCCUCUGUUUGGAAUAACGCCUCGAAAGAGGUGCUAAUACCAAAUAUGACCACAAAAACUACGGUUUUAGAGGUAAAAGGUGGCUUUUUCGGAAGCUACCGCUGAGGGACGGGCCCGCGUGACAUUAGAUUGAUGGUGGGGUAACGGCCUACCAUAUUGUCUACGAUGUCUAGCUGGUCUGAGAGGAUGAUCAGCCACACUGGGACUGGAACACGGCCCAGACUCCUACGGGAGGCAGCAGUGAGGAAUUUUGCGCAAUGGGGGAAACCCUGACG
rnacentral:rRNA from 1 species